UCUGGAAAACUUCUGGUCAGCGGAUACACGUCGAGGACUUCGAUGCCCGAGUCACACAUGAGUUUGUUGGCAUAAGCAUUGAAGAGGUCCACUCUCUGUUGAAACCUAAACAACCCUGUUCUUUGGAAGCAAUAUGAUUCCGAGAGGAAGCCAUUUCAGUGUCAGUCUCUUCUCUAUCUUCAUUGCACCACACAAGGAAGACGAAAAAGGAAGCAAAAAACACUCGAGCAAGUAU